rnacentral:rRNA from 1 species
GACGAACGCUGGCGGCGUGCUUAACACAUGCAAGUCGAACGGAAAGGCCCUGCUUUUGUGGGGUGCUCGAGUGGCGAACGGGUGAGUAUAACGUGAGUAACCUGCCCUUGUCUUUGGGAUAACUUCAGGAAACUGGGGCUAAUACCGGAUAGGAGCUCCUGAUGCAUGGUGGUGGUUGGAGAGUUUCGGCGGUUGGGGAUGGUCUAGUGGCGUAUCAGCUUGUUGGUGGGGUAGUGGCUUACCAAGGCUAUGAAGGGUAGCCGGCCUGAGAGGGUGACCGGCCACAUUGGGACUGAGAUACGGCCCAGACUCCUACGGGAGGCAGCAGUGGGGAAUAUUGCACAAUGGGCGGAAGCCUGAUGCAGCAACGCCGCGUGCGGGAUGACGGCCUUCGGGUUGUAAACCGCUUUCGCCUGUGACGAAGCGUGAGUGACGGUAAUGGGUAAAGAAGCACCGGCUAACUACGUG